GGUUGUGUGGUGUAAUGGUAUCAUGUCACGUUGUGGAUUGGGUCUUGAACCCUCUACAAUUCCGUGCCGAUCGCGGUUCGAUUCCGCGCACAGCCA